rnacentral:rRNA from 1 species
GACGAACGCUGGCGGCGUGCUUAACACAUGCAAGUCGAACGGAAAGGCCCUGCUUUUGUGGGGUGCUCGAGUGGCGAACGGGUGAGUAACACGUGAGUAACCUGCCCUUGACUUUGGGAUAACUUCAGGAAACUGGGGCUAAUACCGGAUAGGAGCUCCUGCUGCAUGGUGGGGGUUGGAAAGUUUCGGCGGUUGGGGAUGGACUCGCGGGUUAUCAGCUUGUUGGUGGGGUAGUGGCUUACCAAGGCUUUGACGGGUAGCCGGCCUGAGCGGGUGACCGGCCACAUUGGGACUUAGAUACGGCCCAGACUCCUACGGGAGGCAGCAGUGGGGAAUAUUGCACAAUGGGCGGAAGCCUGAUGCAGCAACGCCGCGUGCGGGAUGACGGCCUUCGGGUUGUAGACCGCUUUCGCCUGUGCCGAAGCGUGAGUGACGGUAAUGGGUAAAGAAGCACCGGCUAACUACGUG